UGUACUAUGAACCUAACCAGGUAUUCAAAAGGCCAGGAGUGUUGUGUCUGUGUAGGAAUGCACUGCCAGCACAGGUUGUCUGCUCUGCGUGGUAGAGGUAUACCCCUGAAAUCCUUAUUCUGCAGAGAAAUAAUGAUUGAAAUGUUUUUUACACCGGCAGUCAUUCCUUUAACAAGUAUAACCAAGGAAACGUAAAGAAGCGCUCUUACUCAUAUUCAUUGGCGCUGCAGCAGGCGGUGUAUUUUGGAGCAACUGACACAAGACUACACACCACAAAUACUGCCGACUGUCUUUGGUCUCCCUAUUAGAAUGUGAGCGUCA